GAUGAACGCUGGCGGCGUGCUUAACACAUGCAAGUCGAACGAUGAACCGGGUGCUUGCACUCGGGGAUUAGUGGCGAACGGGUGAGUAACACGUGAGCAACCUGCCCCUGACUCUGGGAUAAGCGCUGGAAACGGCGUCUAAUACUGGAUAUGUCCCGUCACCGCAUGGUGUGCGGGUGGAAAGAUUUUUCGGUUGGGGAUGGGCUCGCGGCCUAUCAGCUUGUUGGUGAGGUAAUGGCUCACCAAGGCGUCGACGGGUAGCCGGCCUGAGAGGGUGACCGGCCACACUGGGACUGAGACACGGCCCAGACUCCUACGGGAGGCAGCAGUGGGGUAUAUUGCACAAUGGCGGAAGCCUGAUGCAGCAACGCCGCGUGAGGGAUGACGGCCUUCGGGUUGUAAACCUCUUUUAGCAGGGAAGAAGCGAGAGUGACGGUACCUGCAGAAAAAGCACCGGCUAACUACGUGCCAGCCGCCGCCGUAA
rnacentral:rRNA from 1 species